AGCUCUUGGUAAUAUUUUCCCCAGGUCGGCAGAAGAGAGUGAGAACUUCUCAGAAGAAUACCCUGUUCCCCAGACUCUGCUGGUAGCUAGGGGCAAUGUGUGUUUGUAAGGGCCACUGGAGACCUUUAAGAGUCAAGAGAGGCAGUUUAUCCCCGCGGGGUAAACAAAUGACCUGCAAAUGAGUUGGCUGUAAGGAGGCCCCUGAGUUUAGACAACAAGUGAAGGAGAAAGAGCUGUUCUGAAGAUGUCUGAAGACUCCAGAGAAAGAGCAGAGGCAAAGCCACCACUAACAUGCUUCGCUACAGCCUUCUCAAGCUU
rnacentral:lncRNA from 1 species